GCAAGAACGGGAAAAGGGAAGAGGGGUUGGCUGCGUAGGGUGGGGGAAAGGGAAGGCCGGCAGGGGGGAGAGUGGGUGGUAGUGAGGGGGAGGGGUGGCUGCAAGGUGGUUGAACGGUGACUAAACCCAAAUAACGAAAAUAGUAACAAUGUAAGUCAAUUGGUAGUGAAAUACUUUAGAGAUUUGGGUGGUGGCAAAUUUUUUUUAAAAAAAAUGAAAUAAAAAACAAAAAAUAAAAUAAACAGAGCACAUGUGACACAGUUCUCCUGCAGGUAACAAAUACUACAAUUUUUCCUAAAAAAUUCACACCGGCCCCGAAAUUCUUUGCUCCCCUGAUAACUGAAACCAAGAAAAAAAAAACCGUAGUAACUUUCAGGGAAUCAGAGAGAAAGAGAGCAGAAUCCAUGGAAAAAUUGAAGUCAAUAAUACCAUUGGAGAUUAAGAGAAAGAUAGAACAAAGUACUACCAAAGAUCUUCCUUCAACUACUUCAUCCCUUCAUGAUUUCUUCGCUAAUUCUUCCCUUUUUCACUCAAUGGUUGAGGAUUUGACAAAUCCUGAACUGGGGUUUUGUGCCAAGAACAAGGAGACUGCUUUGGAGUUGAAGAAUAAGGGAAAUGCUUGCUUUUCUUGCUCAGAUUACUCCCAAGCUGCUCAUUUCUAUUCUCAAGCUUUACGUGUUGCUCCAGUUGAUGUUUUAGACAAAGGCAACGAGUUGGUUGCAGCUUUGUUUGUGAAUCGGGCUUCUUCUUUUCAUUAAGAAACUCCUAUGCCUUUCUUUUGUGGGAGGCCGAGGGAGGUGGUUAAACAAUUAAUGGAAUUGGGACAAGGAUGUCUCAAUAGCCAGAUAGAGAAAGGUUAAUAAAAUGAGUCUUUUGGAGGAGUCCCUACGAGAUUGCAAUCGAGCUCUUUCAAUUAGUCAAAGAUACGCCAAGGAGAGGCAAGGUCAACACUUCUUUGUUAAAUUAUGAAGAUGCGAUCUGUGACUUGAAGGUAGCCUUGGACUUUGAAGGAACUUUAAGUGGAAAGAGACAAAUACA